AGGGUUGUUUCUGUAAUGUCCGCGAAAUAUCUCCAAGGCCCCCUGUACUCUCCUCUGCCUUCCAGACGAACUCGCCUCGCUUCUCGUCUCCCGUCCCCUCCGCUUUCCACCCGCGGCCGCCGCCGCCGCCGCUCACCUUGCCGUGCCCGGGCCCUUGCCCAGCAUGUGGGGUAGCACCGACGGUGGAACGCCGGAGGUCACCCUCGAGACCUCCAUGGGCGCCGUCACUGUUGAGGU
rnacentral:lncRNA from 1 species